UGGGGGAUAUUGCGGCAAUGGGGGCAACCCUGACGCAGCAACACCGCGUGAAGGAUGAAGGUUUUCGGAUUGUAAACUUCUUUUAUUAAGGACGAAUUUUGACGGUACUUAAUGAAUAAGCUCCGGCUAACUACGUGCCAGCAGCCGCGGUAAUACGUAGGGAGCAAGCGUUGUCCGGAUUUACUGGGUGUAAAGGGUGCGUAGGCGGCUUUGCAAGUCAGAUGUGAAAUCUAUGGGCUCAACCCAUAAACUGCAUUUGAAACUGUAGAGCUUGAGUGAAGUAGAGGCAGGCGGAAUUCCCCGUGUAGC
rnacentral:rRNA from 1 species